rnacentral:lncRNA from 1 species
UUUUUUUGUACUGUUUGAAGUCUUAUACUCAUUUUAUGUACUCUAUUUUUUUAUCUUCCGAAAAAUACUUCCUUUUAUUCAAGACCCAAAAAGAAAUAUAAAGACUUUAAAGAGUCUGUCUCCUCUUGUUAUAAUUAGAUGCUAUUGAUUCUAGACUCAUCUGAAUCUUUUACAAAGAUCAUAAUCUCCAAUAUGGAGAUAAUUUAGGAGACCUGUAGCACUUCAUCUUCUACUUUCUCGUAAACUCCUUCAUACAUCAGCAGCACCACCUCUAUGCCUCUCUAAUAUUUGUAUAAUAGUUGGUGCAGAAUGGCAGAAUUUUCAAAAGAUUUUUGAAAUAGGGAAAUGUUCUUUGCAUCAUUAUGGGCUAGGUUCAUGGAUUUUUUUAAGGGACUUUCUUUCUCUAUUUUGCAAAGGGACUUGAUUACUGUCUUGUUCUGAUGGAUCUUUUCUCUCUCUUUGCAUUUUCUCUAGUGUUAUUGGAGGGUAGCUUGGCUUCCUUUUCUGUCUUUUCUACAACAAAAUGUAGAAAUAAAUCAGAAACACAAAAUAGAUAUCCAACUUACAGGAAAUGAAGUCUCUACAUUAGAGAUAAGAGAUGUCCAUUCAUCAAAAUCUAAUGAACCCCCAACACUGACUUUCUUGAGUUUAUCCUCAUCAAAACCAGCUGCAGAGUAAGAAAGAUCUGAUUAUGACAAAAUCAUCCUGCCUCACACAUUUAAAAGUCAAACUAAAAAAAAUAAAAAAAUAAAAAAUAAAGCUCAAGCUUCAGUUUGUUUCUUGGGAUAAAAGGAAAAAUAAUAAACUACAUAUUAUAUCUCAUGUCCUUAAAUUAAAUAGGAGAAUGAAAAAGAGCAUCAAUAUAUAAGAAAAUUAUUAUUUAAGAUCACAGAAAAGCACAAGCAUGUCUUGCAGUACGCGGCAUGGACAGUGCAGACAGUAGGCAAAACUUGAUCUUAGCCAAAACAGAGAAAAGUAUCAGAUAAUAGGCACACAAAUUAGACAAAGACAAUAACACCAAAUUUUUUUAAAGAAAUAAAAAAUCUAAGAAUUAUAUUUCUAUGGGCACCAUGGGAGUGCCAACCCAUGCACAAAGUUAUUCACAGAUCUGUCAACUUAUCAAAAAGGUUCCCUAAAUUCUCCAUUGACUUGACUCACUAACAAAAAACCAAUAGUAUGAAACCAUCUAUUCAUGAAAAUAUUGAAUCCAUUCACAUCAUCCACCCUAUCAAAAGCCAUAGCCAUCAAUUACAAAGUACGUAGCUAAGUCUUUUAAAACAAUACAAGGAUUAUGACAAACAGGACAAGUAUCAUUUCGUAAUUCCUAACUCAAGCUUUCAAGCUUCUUUUUACUUUUCUUAAGUCUUAAGGCUAUUGUCGAAACAAAUUAACUUAACUCACGAGAGAAUGCAAAUUACUUAUAAAAUGGUAAAAGUUCACCUUCUAACCAAUUCAAAGUGUGACUAAACCAAUAACAGAAUUUUAAAUCUCCGGCAUCAAUUCCGCCUGGAACUGACUGAGAUCAAUUUUUGCAUCCUCUCACAUUUAAAAUGAAUGUUGGCUUCCAAAUGAAUUCAAGUACAUACAUUCCACGCAUUGCCCAACUCUCGUUUUACAUAAAGUAAACUCUACAGGAUACAAAGGUUAAACACCUCUAUCAACUACGUUAUGAACUGACCAUGAUGCAAUUGAACAGAAAAAGAAGCAGACAAGAAAUUAACUAUUAACUAACAUUUAGAAUAAACAAAAACAAAACAAAAUGUCCCAAAAAGAAAACCCCAAAGGAACUACUGGGGCAAAUAUUGGUACGUGAAAAAGUAAGCUUCCCGUGGAAAUUCAUACGGAAGCUGAGCAUACCCAAAUCUCAGAAAGUCAUUAUAUGGAUAUUAACCACGUAAUUAAAGGCGCAGACAAGUAUAUCUUUACAUUCAAAAUAACAAUACGUGGAUUAAGAAUUAAUACGAAGAGACAAGAGAGAGUUAGAGAAGAGAAAGAGAUAGAAUCCUUACAGGGUUUCUCGGAAGACACAGGGUUGGACUCUGUUUCAAUGUUUGUAUUAGGAAUCUCCAUCACAACCAGCUCGGCAUCACAGAAAUGCUCAAUUUGUGAGAUGAAAGUAUAACAAGCAGGAAGAGAGUACUGUGGCCUUUUACAUCCGUUUUUACGAG